rnacentral:rRNA from 1 species
AGCAGCCGCGGUAAUUCCAGCUCCAAUAGCGUAUAUUAAAGUUGUUGCAGUUAAAAAGCUCGUAGUUGAAUUUCGGGGUCGGUAGGUUGGUCAUGCCUCAGGUAUGCACUGGUCUCACUGAUUCCUCCUUCCUGAUGAGCCGUAAUGCCAUUAAUUUGGUGUUGCGAGGAAUCUAGGACUGUUACUUUGAAAAAUUAGAGUGUUUAAAGCAAGCUAACGCUUGAAUACAUUAGCAUGGAAUAAAUGGAAUAGGACGUUCGAUUCCUAUUUUGUUGGUUUCUAGGAUUGACGUAAUGAUUAAUAGGGGUAGUUGGGGGCAUUAGUAUUCAAUUGUCAGAGGUGAAAUUCUUGGAUUUAUUGAAGACUAACUACUGCGAAAGCAUUUGCCAAGGAUGUUUUCAUUAAUCAAGAACGAAAGUUAGGGGAUCGAAGACGAUCAGAUACCGUCGUAGUCUUAACCAUAAACUAUGCCGACUAGGGAUCGGAUGAUGUUAAUUUUUAAUGACUCAUUCGGCCG